GACGAACGCUGGCGGCGUGCCUAAUACAUGCAAGUUGAGCGCUGAAGGUUGGUACUUGUACCAACUGGAUGAGCAGCGAACGGGUGAGUAACGCGUGGGGAAUCUGCCUUUGAGCGGGGGACAACACUUGGAAACGAAUGCUAAUACCGCAUAAAAACUUUAAACACAAGUUUUAAGUUUGAAAGAUGCAAUUGCAUCACUCAAAGAUGAUCCCGCGUUGUAUUAGCUAGUUGGUGAGGUAAAGGCUCACCAAGGCGAUGAUACAUAGCCGACCUGAGAGGGUGAUCGGCCACAUUGGGACUGGGACACGGCCCAAACUCCUACGGGAGGCAGCAGUAGGGAAUCUUCGGCAAUGGACGAAAGUCUGACCGAGCAACGCCGCGUGAGUGAAGAAGGUUUUCGGAUCGUAAAACUCUGUUGGUAGAGAAGAACGUUGGUGAGAGUGGAAAGCUCAUCAAGUGACGGUAACUACCCAGAAAGGGACGGCUAACUACGUG
rnacentral:rRNA from 1 species